rnacentral:rRNA from 1 species
UGGGGGAUGACGUCCAAGUCAUCAUGGCCCUAUGUCCAGGGCGACACACGUGCUACAAUGGGCCGGCACAACGGGGAAGCGAGUUCGCGAGGACGAGCGGAUCCCUUAAAGCCGGUCGCAGUUCGGAUUGAAGUCUGCAACUCGACUUCAUGAAGCUGGAAUCGCUAGUAAUCGUGGAUCAGCCAAGCCGCGGUGAAUACGUUCCCGGGCCUU